AUUGAACGCUGGCGGCAGGCUUAACACAUGCAAGUCGAGCGAGCGGCGGACGGGUGAGUAAUGGCUGGGAAACUGCCUGAUGGAGGGGGAUAACGACUGGAAACGGUAGCUAAAACCGCAUACCAUCAGAGGUGCCCAGAUGGGAUUAGCUAGUAGGUGUGGUAUUGGCUCACCUAGGCGACGAUCCCUAGCUGGUCUGAGAGGAUGACCAGCCACACUGGGACUGAGACACGGUCCAGACUCCUCCGGGAGUCAGCAGUGGGGAAUCUUCCACAAUGGUCUCAAGCCUGAUGCAGCCAUGCCGCGUGUGUGAAGAAGGCUUUCGGGUUGUAAAGCACUUUCAGCGAGGAGGCGUUACUCGCCGAAGAAGCCCCGGCUAACUCCGUGCCAGCAGCCGCGGUAAUUC
rnacentral:rRNA from 1 species